rnacentral:lncRNA from 1 species
GGACAAAUAGACAAAAAGUAGUCAACAAUAGGCCAAGACUUGUGGUGUUUUCUUACAGAAGUCUGCUCACACACCAGUUGACCAGGGUCUUAAAAGAAUCCUUAUCUACUUCGACCAGAGAAAUUCCAACCCAAGGGAACUUGGAAUUUAUGGAUUUUGAAGGCAACAAGACCUAAGAGUCUGGCUUAUCAACAUAAUGUGCCCAGCAUCACCCACAUGGAGGCUUUAGUUAUAAUCCUCGUGCACUGGUUUGGACCCUGGAAUUCGUUUGAAGAGAUGUAGAUCAUCAGCUGAGUGCCAUGUGCCAACCGUGAGACCCAGACUGAUGUUGGACAUGUUUGUAGUUUUGGGGAAGUUCAGACCCUCACUACAUUUUUCUUCGUGCCAUCCUGAAACCAUCUGUCUGUUUUUCGUUUCAUGGCGUCUUCUACCUUCAGUGGCCAGCUCUUGCCAGGAAUGGAUUUUUCUGAAGUAUCAAGAGGUCACAAAUAACAAGAACAUCUGGAAAGGGCCAGAGAGAACACAUCAUGUCAUCCCUGUCAUCCUUGUCAAGGCUGUCUCUUGCGCGCGCCGGACUGGCCAGCAGUAACGACGCUGCAACAGGAUCCUUCUGCACACGUUUAUUGGGAGAGCUUGAUUGCAGAGGCGAAGAGACCCCGAGCCCAGAACUGGUGCUGCUUAUAUAGGCCUAGGAGAGGCGUGUCUCACACCCGGAUUGGUUAUGCACUACGCCUCAUUUGCAUGUUCCUCAUCUGAUUGGUUAUUCUCUCUCUCUGUACCUCACAGAGCCUCAUUAUCAUACCUCAUUUGCAUGUCUCACAUCUGAUUGGUUAUACUCUCAAAGCCUCAUUAUCAUGCCCGGGCCAGGCAGUGUCUUUGCAAAACACUUUACUGCAUAUGUACACAUUGGUUGUUUGUCCAAACUUAUGCGUGGUGGCCAGCAGUAGUCAGUGCCACUCUGCAACGGCACAUGUGGCUUCCCACAGCUGUCAUCCCUCAUGUGGUCCUCCUCCUUGGCUGGUACAGGCAUGAGAUCUUGAUGUUCAGGAUGGUGAGGGAGAACUGCUUUCUCCUGACCUCAAUCUUUCCAGACUCUUAUGUAAGGGUUUGGCUUCAAUGCAGAGUGAAAAGAUGGUUCUGUGCUGUUCUAGCUAGUGCAUAGUGUCUCUAAAUAAACAUGCUAAAUGAUCA